UACGGAGGGUGCAAGCGUUGUCCGGAUUUAUUGGGUUUAAAGGGUGCGUAGGCGGCCCGUUAAGUCAGUGGUGAAAUCCCAGGGCUCAACCCUCGAACUGCCAUUGAUACUGACGGGCUUGAGUUCGGUUAAGGCGGGCGGAACUGGUGGUGUAGCGGUGAAAUGCAUAGAUACCACCAAGAACCCCGAUUGCGUAGGCAGCUCGCUGAGCCGAAACUGACGCUGAGGCACGAAAGCGUGGGGAGCGAACAGG
rnacentral:rRNA from 1 species